AGAGUUUGAUCAUGGCUCAGAUUGAACGCUGGCGGCAGGCCUAACACAUGCAAGUCGAACGGUAACAGGAAGCAGCUUGCUGCUUUGCUGACGAGUGGCGGACGGGUGAGUAAUGUCUGGGAAACUGCCUGAUGGAGGGGGAUAACUACUGGAAACGGUGGCUAAUACCGCAUAACGUCGCAAGACCAAAGAGGGGGACCUUCGGGCCUCUUGCCAUCAGAUGUGCCCAGAUGGGAUUAGCUAGUUGGUGAGGUAACGGCUCACCAAGGCGACGAUCCCUAGCUGGUCUGAGAGGAUGACCAGCCACACUGGAACUGAGACACGGUCCAGACUCCUACGGGAGGCAGCAGUGGGGAAUAUUGCACAAUGGGCGCAAGCCUGAUGCAGCCAUGCCGCGUGUAUGAAGAAGGCCUUCGGGUUGUAAAGUACUUUCAGCGGGGAGGAAGGUGUUGCGGUUAAUAACCGCAGCAAUUGACGUUACCCGCAGAAGAAGCACCGGCUAACUCCGUGCCAGCAGCCGCGGUAAUACGGAGGGUGCAAGCGUUAAUCGGAAUUACUGGGCGUAAAGCGCACGCAGGCGGUCUGUCAAGUCGGAUGUGAAAUCCCCGGGCUCAACCUGGGAACUGCAUUCGAAACUGGCAGGCUUGAGUCUUGUAGAGGGGGGUAGAAUUCCAGGUGUAGCGGUGAAAUGCGUAGAGAUCUGGAGGAAUACCGGUGGCGAAGGCGGCCCCCUGGACAAAGACUGACGCUCAGGUGCGAAAGCGUGGGGAGCAAACAGGAUUAGAUACCCUGGUAGUCCACGCCGUAAACGAUGUCUACUUGGAGGUUGUGCCCUUGAGGCGUGGCUUCCGGAGCUAACGCGUUAAGUAGACCGCCUGGGGAGUACGGCCGCAAGGUUAAAACUCAAAUGAAUUGACGGGGGCCCGCACAAGCGGUGGAGCAUGUGGUUUAAUUCGAUGCAACGCGAAGAACCUUACCUGGUCUUGACAUCCACGGAAGUUUUCAGAGAUGAGAAUGUGCCUUCGGGAACCGUGAGACAGGUGCUGCAUGGCUGUCGUCAGCUCGUGUUGUGAAAUGUUGGGUUAAGUCCCGCAACGAGCGCAACCCUUAUCCUUUGUUGCCAGCGGUUAGGCCGGGAACUCAAAGGAGACUGCCAGUGAUAAACUGGAGGAAGGUGGGGAUGACGUCAAGUCAUCAUGGCCCUUACGACCAGGGCUACACACGUGCUACAAUGGCGCAUACAAAGAGAAGCGACCUCGCGAGAGCAAGCGGACCUCAUAAAGUGCGUCGUAGUCCGGAUUGGAGUCUGCAACUCGACUCCAUGAAGUCGGAAUCGCUAGUAAUCGUGGAUCAGAAUGCCACGGUGAAUACGUUCCCGGGCCUUGUACACACCGCCCGUCACACCAUGGGAGUGGGUUGCAAAAGAAGUAGGUAGCUUAACCUUCGGGAGGGCGCUUACCACUUUGUGAUUCAUGACUGGGGUGAAGUCGUAACAAGGUAACCGUAGGGGAACCUGCGGUUGGAUCACCU
rnacentral:rRNA from 1 species